GUGAGGAAUAUUGGACAAUGGAUGGAAAUCUGAUCCAGCCAUGCCGCGUGCAGGAAGACGGCCCUAUGGGUUGUAAACUGCUUUUAUACGGGAGCAUUAAGGUCUAUGCAUAGAUUGAUGAGAGUACCGUAUGAAUAAGCAUCGGCUAACUCCGUGCCAGCAGCCGCGGUAAUACGGAGGAUGCGAGCGUUAUCCGGAUUUAUUGGGUUUAAAGGGUGCGUAGGCGGCUUUGUAAGUCAGCGGUGAAAUUUUGCAGCUUAACUGUAAAAGCGCCGUUGAUACUGUGAAGCUAGGAUUUGGUUGCUGUGGGCGGAAUGUGUGGUGUAGCGGUGAAAUGCAUAGAGAUCACACAGAAUAUCGAUUGCGAAGGCAGCUCACAAAGCCAAUAUUGACGCUGAGGCACGAAAGUGUGGGGAUCAAACAGGAUUAGAAACCCUUGUAGUCC
rnacentral:rRNA from 1 species